GCAACUAGAGGUCAUGUGUUUAGCAUCUGUCUUGUAUAUCUCUCAUUCUCCUGAUUUCACUUCUACACAGGGAUGAAUUGGGUCAGAAGCCCAGUGUUUCAUCUGGAAACGCUAAAGCCGGACACACUGACAUUGACGGCUCACUCUUUCGUAAUGGCACUAAAGCAGAUGACUCAGAUUCGGACAGCGAGCUCUCCAUGGAUGAACACAGCAGCUCAUACGCCUCCUCUCACUCAUCUGACAGUGAGGAUGAAGACAUGGACUUGAAGCCUAAGUGGAAUAAUGAGAGACAACCACUACACAGCACUCCAAAGGGUACAAGAGAAGUGGACACCGUGUCUAAUCAUGUCAAGCCUUACUGGCCAACUGAAGCCAUGGCAGCCAGUGACAGUGAAGAUCCCGGAGGGGCAGAGAGACUGAGAGUGGAGACUAAAGUUAAC